rnacentral:rRNA from 1 species
GACGAACGCUGGCGGCGUGCUUAACACAUGCAAGUCGAACGAAGUGGCGAACGGGUGAGUAACGCGUAAUCAACCUGCCCUUCAGGGGGGGACAACAGUUGGAAAUGACUGCUACUACAGCAUACUGAAGGUGGGGAUUGCGUUUGAUUAGCUAGGUGGAGGGGUAACGGCCCACCAAGGCGAUGAUCAGUAGCCGGGCUGGGAGGAUGAACGGCCACAUCGGGACUGAGACACGGCCCAGACUCCUACGGGAGGCAGCAGUGGGGGAUCUUCCGCAAUGGACGAAAGUCUGACGGAGCAACGCCGCGUGAGUGGUGACGGCCUUCGGGUUGUAAAGCUCUGUUAAGCGGGACGCGGUACCGGAAUAGAAAGCCACGGCUAACUACGUGCCAGCCGCCGCGGUAAUAC